GACGAACGCUGGCGGCGUGCUUAACACAUGCAAGUCGAACGGAAAGGCCCUGCUUUUGUGGUGUGCUCGAGUGGCGAACGGGUGAGUAACACGUGAGUAACCUGCCCUUGACUUUGGGAUAACUUCAGGAAACUGGGGCUAAUACCGGAUAGGAGCUCCUGCUGCAUGGUGGGGGGUGGAAAGUUUCGGCGGUUGGGGAUGGACUCGCGGCUUAUCAGCUUGUUGGUGGGGUAGUGGCUUACCAAGGCUUUGACGGGUAGCCGGCCUGAGGGGGUGACCGGCAACAUUGGGACUGAGAUACGGCCCAGACUCCUACGGGAGGAAGCAGUGGGGAAUAUUGAACAAUGGGCGGAAGCCUGAUGAAGCAACGCCGCGUGCGGGAUGACGGCCUUCGGGUUGUAAACCGCUUUCGCCUGUGACGAAGCGUGAGUGACGGUAAUGGGUAAAGAAGCACCGGCUAACUACGUG
rnacentral:rRNA from 1 species